rnacentral:rRNA from 1 species
UGGGGAAUAUUGGACAAUGGGCGAAAGCCUGAUCCAGCCAUGCCGCGUGAGUGAAGAAGGCCUUAGGGUUGUAAAGCUCUUUCAGCGGGGAAGAUAAUGACGGUACCCGCAGAAGAAGUCCCGGCUAACUUCGUGCCAGCAGCCGCGGUAAUACGAAGGGGACUAGCGUUGUUCGGAUUUACUGGGCGUAAAGCGCGCGUAGGCGGAUCACUAAGUCAGGGGUGAAAUCCCGAGGCUUAACCUCGGAACUGCCUUUGAUACUGGAGAUCUGGAGAUCGGGAGAGGUUGGUGGAAUUCCGAGUGUAGAGGUGAAAUUCGUAGAUAUUCGGAGGAACACCAGAAGCGAAGGCGGCCAACUGGCCCGAUACUGACGCUGAGGCGCGAAAGCGUGGGGAGCAAA